UACGGAGGGUGCAAGCGUUAUCCGGAUUCACUGGGUUUAAAGGGUGCGUAGGUGGGUUGGUAAGUCCGUGGUGAAAUCCCCGAGCUUAACUCGGGAACUGCCGUUGAUACUAUAUAUCUUGAAUAUCGCGUAGGUAAGCGGAAUAUGUCAUGUAGCGGUGAAAUGCUUAGAUAUGACAUAGAACACCAAUUGCGAAGGCAGCUUACUUCACGAUUAUUGACACUGAGGCACGAAAGCGUGGGGGAGCAAACAGG
rnacentral:rRNA from 1 species